UGGGGAAUAUUGCACAAUGGGCGCAAGCCUGAUGCAGCAACGCCGCGUGAACGAUGAAGGUCUUCGGAUCGUAAAGUUCUGUUGCAGGGGAAGAUAAUGACGGUACCCUGUGAGGAAGCCCCGGCUAACUACGUGCCAGCAGCCGCGGUAAUACGUAGGGGGCUAGCGUUAUCCGGAUUUACUGGGCGUAAAGGGUGCGUAGGUGGUCUUUCAAGUCGGUGGUUAAAGGCUACGGCUCAACCGUAGUUAGCCUCCGAAACUGGAAGACUUGAGUGCAGGAGAGGAAAGUGGAAUUCCCAGUGUAGCGGUGAAAUGCGUAGAUAUUGGGAGGAACACCAGUAGCGAAGGCGGCUUUCUGGACUGCAACUGACCCUGAGGCACGAAAGCGUGGGUAGCAAACAGG
rnacentral:rRNA from 1 species